rnacentral:lncRNA from 1 species
CAAUCAAACACACGUAUUCACUUGGAAAUUCGUGUUCAUCAGUUCAAGUAACAACAAAAUUUGGUCAAAUGAACCAUGCCAUAAAAUUAAAAUCUAACGUGUACCCAGAUCAGAGAUCACCACAUACAUGAAUCUAAACACCAACUCAUUCACACGCAAAAAGCUUUAAACUUCACAAUACCACAUUUAUUAAAGCCACUGCACUACACGUGUGCAAUAAAUAUUGAAACAUCAGAAGUCUCAAACCAUAUUUAAAAAAUAAUAAAUCCACAAAUAAAUAAAUUAGUCUAAUUAUAUGUUAAAAUAAUAUAAAGCUGUAACCAAAGUCAUGCUUAGCUCCACA